rnacentral:lncRNA from 1 species
CCUCACGCCCGCGGUUCUACUCUAGUUCAGCUUAACGAACUAAAUUGACAAUUCCUUCCCUCAUAUUUUUCAUUUAAUUCAUUAAAUUACAGUAGCGAAGAACCACGGGUAUCAUUUUGAAACAAGGGCAGACCAUGGCCCUAGUCAUGGCCCAAAAAAAUAGGAGUAACUCUUCAUUUUGGCCCAAGAAAGAAGCCCACGAGAAGACUAGGGCAAGAGAAGUCGCAACGCUCACACUCGCGCCGUCCCCUUCCCUCACGCAGUCACACGGUCGCGUCGUCCUCGGCCCUCUGCUCGCACGUGAAGUCCGUCGUGGCGUCGUCGCCCGUCCGCCGUCCGCCUGUCCCCUGCCCUCGUAGUCGCAGGAAGGCAAGGCACCAGGGCCGACUGACCGUGAGCGUGAGCCCGUCCCCUGUCGGCCUGCUUGGCCGCCCGCC